rnacentral:rRNA from 1 species
UACGUAGGGCGCAAGCGUUGUCCGGAUUUACUGGGCGUAAAGGGCGCGUAGGCGGCCUCCGCAAGUCGACUGUGAAAUCUCCGGGCUUAACCCGGAACGGUCAGCCGAUACUGCGGGGCUAGAGUGCAGAAGGGGCAACUGGAAUUCUCGGUGUAGCGGUGAAAUGCGUAGAUAUCGAGAGGAACACCUGCGGCGAAGGCGGGUUGCUGGGCUGACACUGACGCUGAUGCGCGAAAGCUAGGGGAGCGAACGGG